GUCUCACUUCACCACUGAGUGCCGAAGCUUCCAUUUCCUCAUCGGGAAAAAGCUUUUUACCUCAAAGAGCUAUUGUGAGGCUUGGAGAGUUGAACUAGCUGUGAAACGCUUGCGCCAGCCAAGGAAAUACUGAAGACUGCCUCCACGACCUGCUGGCGAGAUGUUGCUCCAGGGUUUUGCUUUAGAUAUAUAAGCUUUCCCGUCCAUUAAACUAUUGCUGGAGAGCAAAUGUCUCGUCCUGGGACCCCAAAGUGAACGGCCUUCACUCUGCGCAGGAAAGAAUUCAAGAGCAAGCCAAAGAAAAGCCAAGGUCACGCUGAUUGCAGGCAGAAAGGCGCCAGCCAGAAAAUGCUGACAGAAAAACCGCCCCCCCCCCCCCCCCCCCCCCCCGCCGAAAGGUCUCAGAUAAGCCCGCUGCCAGGCAGACUGAC